rnacentral:lncRNA from 12 species
AUGAUGUUGGUGAUAAUUCCAUUCCCAUUUUCUCAGUCUCUUUAUCCUCCCCAGAACUUUUUCUUCCUUGUGUUCAGAGUACUGAAGAGAUUCUGGCAUAAUCCCUCCCUCUCUGCUUCCUUGAUUCCUCCUGUCUAUGGCUUAGUAGAAGUCACCUAUGGAGGUAAACAGCAACAAGGACUUUUGAAAAAAGAACAUUCAUACAAUGUUAUUUAUUUCAAGGAAGAGGAUCUGAAAUUGCAACUACAUAAAAAUAUAUUUACCUAUCAACAGGACUGGAAAGUAACAUGAAAAAUGAAAAUAAGGGGAGUGUUUCAGGGAAAACAUCAGAAAUUUUUAAAAUCCAAAAAACUUAAAGUGACAUGGAUCUGUUUACCCAAGAAGCUUUAAAUCAAGAUUGAUAUAAUAAUUAGGAAGGAAGAGAAGUACAAGGUGCUUUUUCUAGGAACUGCA